CUAACGCGUUAAGUCGACCGCCUGGGGAGUACGGCCGCAAGGUUAAAACUCAAAUGAAUUGACGGGGGCCCGCACAAGCGGUGGAGCAUGUGGUUUAAUUCGAUGCAACGCGAAGAACCUUACCUGGUCUUGACAUCCACGGAAGUUUUCAGAGAUGAGAAUGUGCCUUCGGGAACCGUGAGACAGGUGCUGCAUGGCUGUCGUCAGCUCGUGUUGUGAAAUGUUGGGUUAAGUCCCGCAACGAGCGCAACCCUUAUCCUUUGUUGCCAGCGGUCCGGCCGGGAACUCAAAGGAGACUGCCAGUGAUAAACUGGAGGAAGGUGGGGAUGACGUCAAGUCAUCAUGGCCCUUACGACCAGGGCUACACACGUGCUACAAUGGCGCAUACAAAGAGAAGCGACCUCGCGAGAGCAAGCGGACCUCAUAAAGUGCGUCGUAGUCCGGAUUGGAGUCUGCAACUCGACUCCAUGAAGUCGGAAUCGCUAGUAAUCGUGGAUCAGAAUGCCACGGUGAAUACGUUCCCGGGCCUUGUACACACCGCCCGUCACACCAUGGGAGUGGGUUGCAAAAGAAGUAGGUAGCUUAACCUUCGGGAGGGCGCUUACCACUUUGUGAUUCAUGACUGGGGUGAAGUCGUAACAAGGUAACCGUA
rnacentral:rRNA from 1 species